GCCUCAAUAGCUCAGUUGGUUGAGCAUCCGACUUCAACUCAGGUCAUGAUCUCACAGUUCGUGGGUUUGAGCCCUACAAGGGGCU
rnacentral:tRNA from 1 species